ensembl:snRNA U2 U2 spliceosomal RNA
AAUGCUUCUCCGCUUUUUGACUAAGAUUAAGCAUAGUAUCUAUUCUUAUCCAUUUAAUAUCUGAUAUGUUCUCUAUCCAAGGACAAUAUAUUAAAUGGAUUUCUGGAGCUGGGAGAUGGAAUAGGAGAUUUUUCUGUCCACUCUAUGCAUCAAUCUGAUAUUGCAGCACCCCCAGGAAUGGUGCACUCCCC